ensembl:lncRNA
GACACCACUGGCCAAUCAUUCUUUGCUGAUUUUGAUGAGAUGAAUGAAGGUCCUGCAGACUCAAAUGGUCCUCCAGAAGCUUUAGUUCGAGAAGCUGCUGAUGAACAAGACAAGUCUUCAUCUCCCCUCGCUGGUGAGGGUCAUCCAUCUCCCCCUGCUGGUGAGGGUCCUCCAUCUCCCCCUGCUGGUGAGGGUCCUCCAUCUCCCCCUGCUGGUGAAGGUCCUCCAUCUCCCCCUGCUGGUGAAGGUCCUCCAUCUCCCCCUGCUGGUGAAGGUCCUCCAUCUCCCCCUGCUGGUGAANNNNNNNNNNAAGUCUUCAUCUCUAGGCUCUUUUGGUGAGGCGCUUCCAGUAGGAGCGAAGGUAGAGGAACUUGGUGGGCCCUCUGUUGGUGAGGAGGAUACUCCAGGAAGUUCUAGCAACAAAAGCGAGCCUGAUGUGAGUCGAAAUGCAAAAGCUAAAUACAAACUCGCCAUUAUCAUCAUCAUCAUUAUUAUCAUUCUAUUCUAUUUGAACCCUAACCAUGUCCAACCUUGGGAAUUAUGGGAACUCUUUUUAUAUUGCCGGUUUUUGCCUGAUUGAAAUACAUUGUUUGCCCAAAAUACGCAGCUUAAACUGAGUAAUAAACAUGCAUGUGAAUAUGUGUGAACAUGCAGAUUUAAACUAAUCCGCAGCUCAAACUCCAUAUGUUAGUGUUCCUGUUUUGAUUAAAUGAUUUCUAUUUGCUAACAGAUUGCUCCUG